GCAAGAUGCAGCUUAAAGUUGGUAGUUAUACCCCGCAUGAUUAACUACAGAUUUAACAUUCAGGGGGCGGACUCUUCCCCCUGGGUGUAUGCCU
rnacentral:ncRNA from 1 species